UCUAGACUUAUCUUCUAUGUGGAAGUCUCCUCCUGCUGUAGGUACUGUUAUACUAUGGGAUACUGGAGACACUGCAGAGCGGCAAGCACAUCUAUAACUACAUCGAUCCACCAGGGCUCUGCCAUCCUGAGAAAUGUCCUUACUCUGGAAGAGGAAUCACUACCGAUAUCUCAGGAGCAGUGUCAUCUCAACCCAUCGGGAAGGAGUGCCCUGGUGCUGAUGGUACCACUGCUACUCAUGGAACCAUCCUUGGAAUCAGAGGAGAUAGUGGCACCAGUAUCUCAACAAAGUCAUAGGAGCCCCAACAGACAGUUGAGAAGCUAUGCUUACCAUCUCUUUGGAUAUGAACCCCUCCCGCCCCCCAGGGACAGUUGGUACUGAUUCCCUUGGGGGCCACCAUGACUGAUGGAAUCCUCCUUUUGAUCUUACUGGGGACCUUGGAAGCCCUAUGGUAGGCACCCACAUCCCUCUCAAGAGUUGUACCACUCCUCCUGCUCUUGUUAGCCAGUCCCGUCAGUGUACAAGGAGGAAGAGCUGGGACAGGUACCGAUGGUUCUGACACAGGCUUCCUCAUCACCUCUGGAUGACUCAAUUGCUACUUUGUUGUCUUCUCUGCUAGAUAUCCACCCUCAGUAUCAGCAAUUGUUGAAAAGGGUUGCUAAUGACCUAUAGAUCCCACUGGAAGAAGUCCAGGACCCUCAACAACAGCUCCUGGGCAUUUUGCAACCACAAGGACUGACCAGAUUAGGAAGGAUGUAUUAGAACCAGCCAGAGUGGUUAGGCACACACCAGAUCUUGUGCCCCUACACCAAAAAGAGCUGAAAGACAUUAUUUUGUUCCUAACUAAGGAGAUAACUUUUUAUUUUCCAAACCCGCCCCUAAUUUGCUGGUGUUACAGGUGGCUAUGGAAAGAACUUGGUCACGCUGGCAGAGAAGGGCCCAAAGACCGUGGACCACCUGAGUAGAAAGAUCUCUUCCUCUACAUGUAGU